rnacentral:rRNA from 1 species
CACGUAGGGGGCGAGCGUUGUUCGGAAUCAUUGGGCGUAAAGGGUGCGCAGGCGGCCAUGCGAGUCUGGUGUGAAAUACCCCGGCCCAACCGGGGGGGCGCGCUGGAAACUGCAUGGCUGGAGUACAGGAGGGGGAGUCGGAAUUCCAGGUGUAGGGGUGAAAUCUGUAGAUAUCUGGAAGAACACCGGUGGCGAAGGCGGACUCCUGGCCAUGUACUGACGCUGAGGCACGAAGGCGUGGGGAGCAAACAGGUUUAGAUACCCUGGUAGUCCACGCAGUAAACGAUGCACACUAGGUGGUGGGUGGUAGCACUCAGUACCGGAGCGAACGCGUUAAGUGUGCCGCCUGGGGAGUAUGCUCGCAAGGGUGAA